AAAGAUUAAGCCAUGCAUGUCUAAGUAUAAACAAAUUUGUACUGUGAAACUGCGAAUGGCUCAUUAAAUCAGUUAUAGUUUAUUUGAUGGUACCUUACUACAUGGAUAACUGUGGUAAUUCUAGAGCUAAUACAUGCAUCAAAGCCCCGACUUCCGGAAGGGGUGUAUUUAUUAGAUAAAAAACCAACGCGGUUCGCCGCUCCCUUGGUGAUUCAUGAUAACUUUACGAAUCGCAUGGCCUUGCGCCGGCGAUGGUUCAUUCAAAUUUCUGCCCUAUCAACUUUCGAUGGUAGGAUAGUGGCCUACCAUGGUUU
rnacentral:rRNA from 1 species